rnacentral:rRNA from 1 species
UGCGGAGGGAUCAUUACUGAGUGAGGGCCUCCGGGCCCGACCUCCAACCCUUUGUUGACCCAACACCUGUUGCCUCGGGGUGACCCGGACGCCGACGCGUCGGCUGUCGGCCCCGACGGACCAUUUCAACCCUGUAUCUAAACGUCGGAGUAAUGAGUAAAUCAAUCAAAACUUUCAACAACGGAUCUCUUGGUUCUGGCAUCGAUGAAGAACGCAGCGAAAUGCGAUAAGUAAUGUGAAUUGCAGAAUUCAGUGAAUCAUCGAAUCUUUGAACGCACAUCGCGCCCUUUGGCAUUCCGAGGGGCAUGCCUGUUCGAGCGUCAUUACACCACUCAAGCCUGGCUUGGUAUUGGGCGACGGGACGCACCCGCGCCUGAAUUUCACCGGCUGGACGACCCAAUUCUCAGCGUUGUGGCAUUGAAUUCGCUGGCGAGGAGGGCGGACCGCGCCGUUAAAACUUCCAUCAAGUUUGACCUCGGAUCAGGUAGGGAUACCCGCUGAACUUAAGCAUAUCAAUAAGCGGAGGAAAAGAAACCAACAGGGAUUGCCCUAGUAACGGCGAGUGAAGCGGCAACAGCUCAAAUUUGAAAUCUGGCGCAAGCCCGAGUUGUAAUUUGUAGAGGAUGCUUCGGGGCAGCGGCCGGUCUAAGUUCCUUGGAACAGGACGUCAGAGAGGGUGAGAGUCCCGUAUGUCGACCGGCUGGCACCCCUUACGGUAGCUCCUUCGACGAGUCGAGUUGUUUGGGAAUGCAGCUCUAAAUGGGAGGUAAAUUUCUUCUAAAGCUAAAUACCGGCCAGAGACCGAUAGCGCACAAGUAGAGUGAUCGAAAGAUGAAAAGCACUUUGGAAAGAGAGUUAAAAAGCACGUGAAAUUGUUGAAAGGGAAGCGCUUGCAACCAGACUCGUCGGCGGUGUUCCGCCGGUCUUCUGACCGGUCCACUCGCCGCCGUCGGGCCAGCAUCGUCUGGGACCGCUGGAUAAAGGCGCGGGGAAUGUGGCUCUCUUCGGGGAGUGUUAUAGCCCCGCGCGCAAUACGGCGUGCUCCGGGCGA